UGUGGGAGCGAGCUUGCUCGCGAUGCGGUCAUCCAUAGGCACUUGUAGUGCCUGCAAUGCCGCUAUCGCGAGCAAGCUCGCUCCCAUA
rnacentral:misc_RNA from 1 species